rnacentral:rRNA from 1 species
AUGGAUUCAAAGGCUCUCCUCUGGUCCACUGUAGCUCUGAUCGUUUUGUUUCUGCCGUUUAGUGCUUCAGAUGACCGGCUUGUCCCUGGCAAGCCGCUGUCUCCCGGCAACAUCAUCGUCUCCGAUGGCGGCACGUUCGCCUUGGGCUUCUUCAACCCCUCCAACUCCACUCCAUCCACGGUUUACCUUGGCAUAUGGUACAACGACAUCCCUGAGUUCAUAGUUGUGUGGGUUGCUAACCGUGAAACCCCAGCCAACAACAACACUUCCUCUCCACCAAUGCUCUCCCUCACCAACAGCUCAAAUCUUAUCAUCUCUGAAGGUAAUAGUGGCGGCCGUGUCCUUUGGAUGACGCCUAACGUGACAACUACUGUGGACUCGUCUACCCCAACGGCGGUGCUUCUGAACACCGGGAACCUUGUUAUCCGGUUGUCAAACGGCACCACGCUGUGGCAGAGCUUUGACCAUCAAACAGACUCGUUCCUCCCUGGGAUGAAGCUCCGAAUCAAAUCCAACACGCCCAACAUUGUCGAGCGUCUGGUGUCGUGGAAGGGCCCUGGCAACCCUUCGCCGGGGCGCUUCUCCUAUGGUUUCGACCCAGACACAGCCUUCCAAGUAUUCCUGUGGGAUGGAGAGAACUUGGUGUCCCGAAGCAUCCCAUGGACCGGAUUCCAAGUAAUGAGUGUAGACCAACAACAGCUAGCGGCAACCAUGAACGUCAGUGAUCUUAUCGUGUACAUAGCCUUCGUCGACAAUGGCGGUGAGAUCUACUUCACAUAUAGCCUCGCUGACGGUGCCCCGCUCACAAGGCUGGUGCUGACGUACUUUGGUGAGUAUCACCUCGAGAGCUGGAGCAGCAGCUCGUCGGCAUGGGCUAUCCUCUGGAAGAUGCCUUCCACUGAAUGCAACCGCUACGGUUACUGUGGCCCGUAUGGUUACUGCGACGAGACAGCAACACCAGUCCCAACGUGCAAAUGCCUAGACGGGUUUGAGCCAGCAAACAAGGAGGAGUGGACUGGGGGCCGGUUCAUGGCGGGGUGCCUACGGAAGGAGCAGCUACACGGGUGUGGCGGUAGCUUCUUGGCGUUGCCGGGGAUGAAGUUACCAGACAAGCUUGAGCUCAUCGGAGGGGGCAUGAGUACGUUUGAGGAGUGUGCAGUGAAGUGCAAUCGCAACUGCUCCUGUCUGGGGUACGUGUACCGCAAUGUGAGUAGCCGCAGGUUCAGAGGAGACAUGACGUGCAUGGUAUGGACCGGUGAGUUGGUUGACACAGGAAAAGUAGGCGUAGGUGGCGAGACAAUCUAUCUCCGAGUUGCAACAGAUAAAAGGAGAAAGAUUAACGCAGUCAAGAUUGUGCUGUCAGUUUUAGGAAGUGAUGUUCUCAUAUUCAUAUGCAUCUCUUUUGCAUGGUUAAAAUGCCAAGGAAAGAAUAAAAAAUGGAGAAAGCACAAGAUUAUAAGUUUGUUUUUCAUGAGUACGUCUCAUGAACUUGGGGAAGAAAAUCCUCCUCAUGAUCAAGAAUUUCCAUCUGUAAGACUAGAAGAAAUUGCCCUCGCAACACACAAUUUCUCUGAAGCAUGCAUGAUCGGACAAGGAGGCUUUGGAAAAGUUUACAAGGGGAUUGUUAGGUGGUCAGCAAGUCGCAGUCAAGAGGCUAAGUACAGAUUCUCAACAAGGAACAAAAGAAUUCAGGAAUGA